AACACUGUUAACCUGCGGUACCUGCGGAGGGAUCAUUACCGAGUUUACAACUCCCAAACCCCUGUGAACAUACCUAUACGUUGCCUCGGCGGAUCAGCCCGCGCCCCGUAAAACGGGACGGCCCGCCCGAGGACCCUAAACUCUGUUUUUAGUGGAACUUCUGAGUAAAACAAACAAAUAAAUCAAAACUUUUAGCAACGGAUCU
rnacentral:misc_RNA from 1 species